rnacentral:rRNA from 1 species
CCUACGGGAGGCAGCAGUGAGGAAUAUUGGUCAAUGGGCGAGAGCCUGAACCAGCCAAGUCGCGUGAGGGAGUACUGCCCUAUGGGUUGUAAACCUCUUUUGUCGGGGAGCAAAAGCCGGACGUGUCCGGCUGUGAGAGUACCCGAAGAAAAAGCAUCGGCUAACUCCGUGCCAGCAGCCGCGGUAAUACGGAGGAUGCGAGCGUUAUCCGGAUUUAUUGGGUUUAAAGGGUGCGCAGGCGGAUUUUUAAGUCAGCGGUAAAAUCGUGGGGCUCAACCCCAUCCAGCCGUUGAAACUGGGGAUCUAGAGUGUGUGAGAGGUAUGCGGAAUGCGUGGUGUAGCGGUGAAAUGCAUAGAUAUCACGCAGAACCCCGAUUGCGAAGGCAGCAUACCGGUGCACAACUGACGCUCAGGCACGAAAGCGUGGGUAUCGAACAGGAUUAGAUACCCUAGUAGUC